rnacentral:rRNA from 1 species
UACGUAGGGUGCGAGCGUUAAUCGGAAUUACUGGGCGUAAAGCGUGCGUAGACGGUUAUUUAAGUCGGGUGUGAAAGCCCCGGGCUCAACCUGGGAAUUGCAUUCGAGACUGAAUAGCUAGGGUACGGUAGAGGGAAGUGGAAUUUCCGGUGUAGCGGUGAAAUGCGUAGAUAUCCGGAGGAACACCGGUGGCGAAGGCGGCUUCCUGGACCGACACUGACGCUGAGGCGCGAAAGCUAGGGGAGCAAACGGG